rnacentral:tRNA from 1 species
GCCCGCAUAGUUUAAAAAAUAUAGCACUUUCAGCGCUAAGUUAGGAGUUAGCCCCUUGCGAGUA